ACGAAAUCUUGCUCUGUUGCCCAGGCUGGAGUGCGAUGGCAUGAUCUUGGCUCACGGCAAACUCCGCCUCCCUGGUUCAAGUGAUUCUCCUGCCUCAGCCUCCCGAGUAGCCGGGAUUACAGGCAUGUGCCACCAUGCCCCGUUGGCCAGGCUGGUCUCGAACACCUUACCUCAGGUGAUCCUCCCACCUUUGGGAUUACAGCAGGCUGAGGAAUUACCAAGGAGGCAGGAGGUGGAGCAAAACACACCAAGCCUGAUGCCAAUCAUUGACAAUAUUAUGACCCUGCAUGUGAUGGAUCAGCUGACACCAUCCAGAUUGGUAAACUGGUUCGUCUGAUCUUGUGCCCUCCACCCAGGAACUGACUCAGCGCAAGAAGACAGCUUCGACUCCUUAUGAUUUCAUCCCUAACCAAUCAGCACUCCUGGCUCACUGGCUUCCCCCAACCCACCAAAUUGUCCUUAAAAACUCUGUUCUCCAAAUGCUGGGGGAGACUGAUUUGAGUAAUAAUAAAAC
rnacentral:lncRNA from 1 species